rnacentral:lncRNA from 1 species
UUAGCAUGACUAUCAGUGAGGAAUUGCUCAAAUUUAAUUAAUUUUGGCGAUUAUAGAUGAAUCAAAUAAAAAUGCUCAUCUUUCUCUACUCACUCAUUCAUAACAUUAAAAUUGUCAACAUAUUUGUUCACAACAUUUCACAAUUACAUGGCAUCUAAGCCUUGAUCCUCAAGGACUUAACUCACAUUUUCAUGACAAUAUUUUGAAAAUAAUUAGGACAGUAAAAAAAAAUCAAACAAAAUUUAGACACCAUAAAUACGAAAUAAGGUCACAUACUGGUUCUAACAUAAGAAAUAAUGUAUAAAACUUUUAAACAAUAUAGCUCUUGAAAUACUUUAAAUUUUGAUCAAUUUUUCUUGACUUUAUGAUGCUUUAUGGGUGAGUUUUUUAGUUAUUGAUCAGAUUGUUUAUCCAUGUGACAUAUUUAUCAAAUGAAAUCUAUUUUAAUCAAAAAGGUUAAUAUUGUAAAAGUAAUAUGACUUCACCACCUAAAGAAUUUUCUUUGACAUUUAUUCCAUUCGACUCCUCAAUAUAUUUUCAAUAAUUGGUUGAUAUUUAAAUUAAUAAAGCUAUGUGAUACAAAAAUUAGAAACAUUUAUACUUGUACAAAAAUAAUGACUUUGUACUUUGCACAAACUUGUUAUGAUAUUUAUGCUUGAAUAUGUUAACUUUUAUAUCCCUAAUGAUAAUGUAAUUGAUAACUUUUUAAUAUUUAAUAUGACCCUCGCCAACUGACAUGAGGGUGCGCCGACCACUACCCUUUUAAAUACACUUCGAGAAUGUUCGAGAUUUGACAUGAGGACACUUAAUUCUUGCUCUCUUCUGCUUCCCGAUUUGAGAAUUAGUGUGCCGUCCCCUAGUUCUUUCAUGAUUCUGCAAAGGCUCCAUUGACUGCGAUGAUGCUUGACGUUGUGAAAACGUCCAAGGCCGCACAAGGUUGUGCGUUUCGUAGUAGAACCAGGACAACCGUGUGACAAGACAGAAGAACGACAGAUCCUACCAGAAACCAGAGCCCCCAGUGUGGAUCACCUUUCUCCUUUGCUCUCCACAGAGGGGUUCAUGGGGUGGUCGGAGACGUGGAGGUACAGAAGGAGGCGGCCUCCUAGGAGGAAGGUGGUGCAAUCUAAGACGAGGCAGAGCAUCGAGGGGGUCACAGCCCCGGCCGGCUGCAGGGUUUUCCUAAAGAGGACCACGGCCGCCGUGCCUGCUGCGCCGGCCGAUUUCUCACAAGUCAACGGGUGACGAGAUCUCUACUGGAGUGGGGAUGGAUUGCGAUGAAGAGGGGAGCUGGCAUUCUUAUCCCUUCUCCGGGUGUAACACGCCACGAGACGAAAAUAGGCUGCGCGAGAGAGAAGGAGAUGGAGGGAGAGACAUAAGGAGAGAGGGAGGGACGGAGAGAGCGAGAUCGAGCUUACCUCGUGUCUGCAAAUACUGGGAAAGACAGCAGAAGAGAAGCAGGGCAAAUCGGGGGAGGCCAUAGGUGAGAAGACCACUCACCGGAGGAUGCCGGGAGCUCGCCAUCGCCGGCCCGUGCGCGUCUUGGUGACUCGCUUGGCGGCAGCGGCCUCCGCCGGCGGCGGCGCAGAAGUUGCCUACAAGCGAGUCACCGAGACGCCGCAGGCCUCCAUUCCUCCCCGUCGGCGACUGCUUGUUUCCCCCUCUGACCUGGUCCAAACAAUUAUGCCUUGUCGCUACAUUAGCUUCCCGAAUACUCUAACAGAUUAGGAUAGAUUUUCACGCGGACGUGGGCAAUCCAAUCUCUCCGUUGCCGCCCAAGACGUUCCGUGCACGCUUUCUGUAUAUGACGACCCAUCACACGAACGGACAGAAACCCCCAAGAGCCCCCCUCUGGUUUUAGAGCGAAAGAGAGAGUUGCAGAUAAGAACGGCCCUACCCUCGUCCCUCGUGGAAGGGCA